GUGGGGAAUAUUGGACAAUGGGCGAAAGCCUGAUCCAGCCAUGCCGCGUGUGUGAAGAAGGUCUUCGGAUUGUAAAGCACUUUAAGUUGGGAGGAAGGGUAGUAACCUAAUACGUUGCUACUUUGACGUUACCGACAGAAUAAGCACCGGCUAACUUCGUGCCAGCAGCCGCGGUAAUACGAAGGGUGCAAGCGUUAAUCGGAAUUACUGGGCGUAAAGCGCGCGUAGGUGGUUCAGUAAGUUGGAAGUGAAAUCCACGGGCUCAACCUGGGAACUGCUUUCAAAACUGAUGAGCUAGAGUACGGUAGAGGGUGGUGGAAUUUCCUGUGUAGCGGUGAAAUGCGUAGAUAUAGGAAGGAACACCAGUGGCGAAGGCGACCACCUGGACUGAUACUGACACUGAGGUGCGAAAGCGUGGGGAGCAAACAGGAUUAGAAACCCUAGUAGUCC
rnacentral:rRNA from 1 species